rnacentral:lncRNA from 1 species
UUUCUCUGUCACCUGUGGCACUGCACUGUGAACCGCAUGAUUUUCUUCCCUCUGCCCACUUCGAGGAACGAACCCAAGAGAGAAUAGGCCUCUCCAUGAGUGGCCCUGCUGAAAACGCAUCGGUACUGGGACUUGAACGGAUGGAAUGAUUGAAGUUGCUGCUUAAACUAAUAUAAUAUUCUGUUUUAGAUUAGUUACUACAAACGCUUUUACAAAGAAAACCUACUUUGGAUGUUACAAAUAAAAAGUUCUAUUCCUG